rnacentral:rRNA from 1 species
ACGAACCGUGCGAACGUUGUUCGGAAUCACUGGGCUUAAAGGGCGCGUAGGCGGGCCGCCGCGUCCGGGGUGAAAUCCCCCCGCUCAACGGGGGAACGGCCUCGGAUACGGGCGAUCUGGAGGCGGGUAGGGGCACGCGGAACUGUGGGUGGAGCGGUGAAAUGCGUUGAGAUCCACAGGAACUCCGGUGGCGAAGGCGGCGUGCUGGACCCGAUCUGACGCUGAGGCGCGAAAGCCAGGGGAGCGAACGGGA